rnacentral:lncRNA from 1 species
AGUAAGAUGCAUUACCAUUCUACAUGAGGCAUAUAGAAUAGAAAAUGUGAAAAUGUAGUUGCAAUCUAAGGAUCAUCUUAACAUUUGGUAAUGUUUGCCCCAAUGUCAACCCCAAUUGUACAUAAACUAAACUCUAUAAUCUAAUCACUAAACCCUACACGGAAAUAUAAACCCUACUCCAAUGUCAACCCUAAUCUUUCAUAAACUAAACCAUAGCCACUAAUCACUAAACCCUACAUGGAAAUAUAAACCCUAAUCCAAUGUCAACUCCAAUCUUUCAUAAACCAAACCGAAAUUUUGAAAUGCAAGUAACAUACAUUUCCAUUCUACAUGAGCAUAUUGAAUAGAAAAGGUGAAAAUGUAGUUGCAAUCUAAAGAUCAGGUUAACAUAUUUUUCAACUGUUGAUAUGGCUACGCCUUCAUGGAAGGUGGUAAUGUUUGCCCUAAUGUCAACCCCAAUUGUACAUAAACUAAACCCUUUCAACUAAUCACAGAAAUAUAAACCCUAAUCCAAAGUCAACCCC